rnacentral:lncRNA from 1 species
UCUCCAUGGAGGACCAAGGAUCCAUUUUGGGAUUUUUUUGACCCAAAAUUCUUCCUCAUUUUCAUCAUCAUCAUCAUUUUCAUCUUCAUCAUCUUCAUAAUCUUCAUCAUCUUCAUCUCCUCCAUCAUCUUCCUCUUCCUCCUCCUCCUCCUCAGCCCCUCCCUUUAAUCUUCAUCCCCUCCUCCUCCUCCAUCAUCAUCAUCAUCAGCGGGGCCUUCAUCGCCUCCACCACCACCAUCAUCAUCAUCAUCAUUGCCUCCAUCUUCAGCAUCGGGGCCUUCAUCAUCUCCACCAUCAUCAUCUUCAUCAUCAUCACCAUUGGGGCCUUCAUCACCUCCACUGCCACCAUCAUCAUCAUCACCUCCAUCUUCAUCACCUCCACCACCAUCAUCAUCCUCGGGGCCUUCAUCACCUCCACCAUCAUCAUCAUCAUCAUCGGAGCCUUCAUCACCUCCACCAUCUUCAUCAUCAUCACCACCUCCAUCUUCACCAUUGGGGGCCUUCAUCGCCUCCACCACCACCAUCAUCAUCUUCACCUCCAUCUUCAUCACCUCCACCAUCAUCAUCCUCGGGGCCUUCAUCACCAUUUCCGGCCUCUCCCUCCUCCUCCUCCUCCUCAGCCCCUCCCUUCAAUCUUCAUCCCCUCCUCCUCCUCCAUCAUCAUCAUCAGCGGGGCCUUCAUCGCCUCCGCCACCACCACCAUCA